rnacentral:pre_miRNA from 2 species
CAUCGCCCUUUCCUCCGCCUGCCCAGCUGCAACGUGACAGCCGAGUGAGGGCCUCGGGGCGGCAC